rnacentral:rRNA from 1 species
GAUGAACGCUGGCGGCGUGCCUAAUACAUGCAAGUCGAGCGAACGGACGAGAAGCUUGCUUCUCUGCUGUUAGCGGCGGACGGGUGAGUAACACGUGGAUAACCUACCUAUAAGACUGGGAUAACUUCGGGAAACCGUAGCUAAUACCGGAUAAUAUUUUGAACCGCAUGGUUCAAAAGUGAAAGACGGUCUUGCUGUCACUAAUAGAUGGAUCCGCGCUGCAUUAGCUAGUUGGUAAGGUAACGGCUUACCAAGGCAACGAUGCAUAGCCGACCUGAGAGGGUGAUCGGCCACACUGGAACUGAGACACGGUCCAGACUCCUACGGGAGGCAGCAGUAGGGAAUCUUCCGCAAUGGGCGAAAGCCUGACGGAGCAACGCCGCGUGAGUGAUGAAGGUCUUCGGAUCGUAAAACUCUGUUAUUAGGGAAGAACAUAUGUGUAAGUAACUGUGCACAUCUUGACGGUACCUAAUCAGAAAGCCACGGCUAACUACGUG